UCAAAGGAAAUUGUGCCUUAUUGUUUGUGUGGUGUGCAUUCAUGAAAUUUAUUACAUAUUCACCAUGCUAUUUUGAUACAAAAUAUCAUGCAAAUAUUUACAAUGAACAUUUUACGAAAAGAGAGUUUUAACGUGAUGUGGGGAUCGAUAUUUUGAGAAAGAUUUAAAAUAUCCCCUUGAAGAUCAAAUUUGAAUUCUUUUAAAAGGUGAUUUCAUUUUAACCAAAAAAUUCAAGAGUAAUUGGAG
rnacentral:lncRNA from 1 species